CAAAACCUUGCACAUUAUAUUCCAGAGGAAAUCUGUGCUUUUGUUCCUGAUUUUAGUUGAUGGUACUUCUAUCUAUAGUCGUCCAAACCAGAAACAUAUGGGUGGUCUCCCUCACUUGCUCUACAUCCAACAAUAUACCCCUCCUUGGCUGAUACUUUCACCAUGGCCUGCCCUAAAGUGACAGGUACAUAGUUCUGAUUGCCAAAGGAAACUUGAAGGACCCAAAGUGGCAAUGCUGACAAAUCUCCGGCUUAUAGCAGGAAAGAGGUACAGUACAGUUGCAGCAUUAACAUAAGGAUAUGCAUCACAGCAAAAGGAAUCUCACAACAAAGUACCUGGUGAGGCCAGGAGUGAGCCACCAGCUGUCCUUCCUCUGUAAGGGCCAUCCUGUGACACUGUUUCUUUCUUGAACCAGAACCCACCAGUGUGUGAAUGGAAUCCCUCAGAAUUAUGGGAACCCAAAAUUUAGUUUCAUUUGGGGCUCCUUAUAUCCUACCAGUGAUGGAGGCAUAUUCUUGAUACAUAAUGCAGGGGUCUUACCAAGACUAGGGGCAUAUCAUGAAUUUCAUUGUUCAGAAGUUGGUACAAAUUGCCCUGAAACUUCAAAGACCUAUGGCUGUUAAGCAACACUGUUAAUCAAUAUGUCAUUUGUUGAGUAAGAGUCAGUGCCAGGUACAUUUAUAAUUUUUACUGAAAUAAGAAUAAAUUCAGGCCUGCUGGAAUUAAUCCUCAGAACAAGAACCCAUCUCCUAUCAAAUAAAGCUUAAGUUUCUUAAUAGGUCAUCAAGAUCCGCUAAGCCUGGUCUCUAUCAGUUUCAUAACAUUCAGUCUUAUAAUCUGUGCUCUGUCAACAUUGAAUUGCCUGCUGCUCUCUAUGUGGCAGUGCUUUAGUAUGAGCCCUGACAAUUUUUUAUUUUUUGUGAUACAGUUUCCUAACUUAAGCUUUGAGUGCCUAGGCAUCCACUUCAAAAAUGGCUGUCUUCAAUAAACAUACUGCCAGCCACACAACUAGAUAAAGUACCAGGCCACUCACCCUGCCUCCAACCCCUGGCACCUUUAUUUUAGAGAUGUAGGUUGGUUUUGAUAACUGACCAUUCGGAUUAUUUUUUUUCUUCUCUCUCUUUAGAUUCCUGCUUUUAUAUUUUAAAUUCAUCAGUGCAGAGUGAGCCCAAGAAAUUCCAGGUCCCUACCCUCAACCUUAAUAAAAGCAGAACCCCAGGCCCAUUUUCUCUCUGGCCCUACUACCCCCACCCCCACCAUGUCCUUGCUGUGUGGUCCCAGGUGUACCAUGUAAUUUCUGGGAUUUAUAAGUAAUGCAUUUUCUCCCCAAAGUUUCCUGAUGAUUAUUGCUGAAGGAGUCUUGCAGUCAUAAUGAGAACUACAAGGGCCAGUCCAGCCACAAUAGUGGAGGUUGACUGGCUAAAACUGGCACUCAACAAAUGAUAUUUCAUAAAUCCAGUCUCAGAGUCUCUCCUACUAUCCAGCAAAAGAAGGAAUAAUCCAUCUUGUGCCAUUUGUCACUCUGUUUUUUGUAUCUCCAAGGCAAUGCAUGCUACAUUUGGCUUUGCUGCUCCAGAGCAUUUACUAUGUAACUCAGAACUUCCAGCUAUGAUGUGACUCAUCUUUUGGUAUAUGCUACAAGUUACGCAGCCCGUUAUUUGGAUUUAAUAUCAUAUCACUUGCUGUGCUAUGCCAGGAUAUUGCAAAAAGUCUGUGGCAAGCCCUGCUUGGAGAUAGGAGACACAUUAUAGAUUUUUAGGUUGUGGGGGAAAAAUUCUUGUGUACUUUUUUAACAUAGUACUUUUCCUUGGAGAAAUUGCUUCUGGCUAGAUAAUAAACUUUGAAAAAGACUGAACCUGAUCUUAAAACACCAGGUAGUAGUAAAUGUGCAACUCAAACCACCCAAUAGCAGUUGGAUAUGAUUUCAUCCUCCUAGAUAAAAUGUUAGGCAAAUGGGUCAGCACCUUGUGAUGAUGUUGUAUUCAGACCCGACCUGCACAGGCCGUGGGAUCACAGGUAAAUUGCAUGAGAUGCUCGAUGACAAUCCCUGCUUCGUCCUAUUCACUGUUAUCCCUCCUUCAACCAACAUGUAUAACCCCAUGGAAUGAUCUCUAAGCUUAUCCGAAUGUGGAGAAAAAUUACAGUCUGAUUUUUAGAUGGUUCUGUGUGAUAAGAUGUUUAUAGUGAGAAAUAAAGCAAUUCUCCCAAAAAGAAGACCAUUCUCUUUUACACUUUGCAUGAGAUUUUGGACAAAGGUAAAGCUCUCCCAGACUCAUAGGUGCAGGCAUUAAAAUCAAAACUUGCAAUGUUCAAAGAAGGGAAUAUUUUUUACAAAGUCUGGUAAAGAGGUGUGUGGGAGAAACAUUUGGAAUAACCCCAGAGCAUGAAAAUUAUUGUGUUCAAUGUGAAUGCUUAUCAACAGGAUGAUAUAGAAGAAUGGAAAGAAUAACUCUUUUGUUAAAUAAAUCAGCCUACUGUUUGGGAUAUUGCCCAUUGUUAAAUGGAAUCUCUUCUCAUCCCCUUCAAUAUUUUUUUCUUUAUCACAAGAAUUAGAAAGACAAAAUUUACAUUUUUUUUAUAAUGUGUAAAACUUAUGAUUAUGAAUGAAAGUUUGGUUCUUCCAGGGAGAGACAGAUCUUUGAUAUUUGAAAGAUGUGAGUUAGAAGCCAUUUUCUAUUGGCUAUGGUGGUUGACAAGAAACUUUUCACAGGCAGGCAAUUUUUGGUGGUGAAGCUCCAUGUUGUUAGUCAACAACUACAGGAAGGUUUGGAAGUUGUAUUGGAAGUACAGAGGUAGAGAGAGUAGCAAUUCCAGAUUUCAGGCAUACAGAUGAUAAUCUUGAAUCUAGAAGCCCAGUUAAUGCCUCUGACUUCCAGGCCUCUGGUUCUUUCAGUGAUUUUAUAAGCAUUUAUUUUCCUGUUUUAGAUCCUUUUCUCCUUGAGAUAUCUAGAGUUGUUUUCUUUUCCAGCAUAGAUUAGAUUACUCACACAUGCACAUUUUUCCUGCCAUGUCAGGACUUGUUUAAUAUUGCCCUUAUGAAGCAGGUAGCCACAUUUUCAGGGAUAGAGAUUAAAUAUAUUCUCGAUAUUGUGUCUCCUUCCUUUCACUAAGGUUUCUACAGCUCUCUCCACUAAUGAGAGCUCUGUGCUCAGUGGUAAUAGCUUACCUUUAGAACCCGAACAGUCCCCUUAUGUAAAGCAGUUAGCCACCUGGCAGCAUUAUAUUCUUUUCCUUAUGGAUGGCCAAAAUUCAUCUUUACAUGGGGACAAAACUAAUUCUUAAUGUGACUUCCUUUCCUGCCCCUUAUGUUCUUCCUGUAUCAUAAUGCCAUUUCCUCCCUUACUUUCAUCAAACACUAGAAAAUAUUCAGAGAUUUAAUUAUUCAAACUAUUGUAAUUUUUUUGUUGGUAUAUUACUGUUUACUUGUUCACCAAUAUUCAUUACAUUAUUCAUAGUUUCUAAGUGGAUAAGCUCUUUUGGAUUUGUGUGUGCAUGUGUGUUGUGAGUGUAUGUGAGACAGAGAGUCAGAAGUACGAUGGGGACAAACCAUUUAAACAGAGUUAAAAACACACAGAAUAUGAUUCUUUCAAAUAAUUUAUGGACUAAUAGGAACCGGAAAACAUAUACACACACUUGUGCACACUAUGCCCACCAAAAAGCAAUCAUUCACUGAAUGAGUAUUAGUUGUACUGUGAAUAAAUGAAGAAAGUAAAAAAUAAAAUGAAUAAAGAAGUAAAAAUUAUAAUCUAAUUUGGGUAAUCAAUUUUUAUAGAGUUUGUUUUUUUCCCAUUUAAAGGAGAUAAGGGAAAAAUUGACAUAGGUGCAUAUAUUCAGGGACAUUAACUUCUGAACUCUAAACUCUCUCCUAAUAUUCAAAUUUCCUCACACUUUUAGUAUAAAAGAGAACCGCAGAUAAAAGACAAUUUCAGUCAAAAACUUUGUAAUCCCAAUUCAUUAUAAUGCUAUUUACCUCAAUAACAACACAAAUGAACCAGAAAAUACAACUCAUCUGCUUUGGUAUUAUUUUCUUGUGAGUUAGUUGUUUUAGUAGAGUAUAAUUAUGGUAAUCAAAAUCCAGAAUGAAAUUAUAGUGAUUUAAAAUUUCUGCCAAGAUAGACAUUUAUAUAAUCUUGGCAAUCUGGGAAUGCAUAGCAUUGUUUCUAAUUAAAUGAGCUAUAAUUAGUGCUAUUUUUAUAAAAAAAAAUGGCUGGUGGGGCCUAUAAAAUGGCUGAUUGAGCCUUUGUACACCCUGAUAAAUUAAUUUGUCAUUCUAGCUUCAGCUUUUGCUCUAUAAUUUUUAUUAAUUUAACUUGUCUCUAUGAUAAUAAAAUUAAUCUUUUUUAAAACAUCUAUAAAAUAUUUGGUAAGGAAUUAAAUAUACAUAAUUCUCUUAGAGGAAUAAGAACGCUUUUGUGAAAACUUUUUCAGGUAUUGUACAAAAUCUCCUUCUAGGUAAAAUGGCAGAAAGAUUAUCUUUCAGGUACAGUAAAGAUAAUACUGCUCUCGUGCACUUUGUUGAGCCAGAGAAUGGCUUGAAUCAUUUUAAGCAAUGUCAUGUCAAAAAGAGUCUUGUGUUAUUUUAAUGGAAAAAGAUAGCAUAUUCAGUGGGUAGCUUUGGACAAAUUUCUUUAAAAAAAUAAAGGGAAAGAAAGAAAGUACAGUUCAUUGAAUGCUCUUAUAAUUUGAACCAUUAAUGAGUAAACUGAAUUUGUAUUUAGGACAUUUUAAAUCUGGGAAUAGUUGUAACUAACAAUUAAAAUUUUUUUCAAUAAAUUUAAUAAAUUGUUUUGUUGUUGUUGUUGCAAGUUGAUCCAAAACUUUUUAGACUAAAGAACUUAAAGUGAAUUCAAUAAAUAAAAAAUAAAUGAAUAUCUAUGAUGCAGUCCAAAUUGUGGUUAAGUACAGUAGGGCCUUGUGGAGCAAUGCAUUUCUUUCUUUAGUUUUCUUUUUUAUUUUUUGGUUGCACUCAUGGCAUAUGGAAGUUUCUGGGCCAGGGAUCAAAUCUGAGCUGCAGCCAUGACCUACACCACAGCUGUGACAAUACUGAAUAAUUAUUCCACUCUGCUGGGCCAGAGAUUGAAACCACAACACCACAGAGACAAUGUGAGAUCCUUAACUCACUGUGCCUCAGUGGGAGCUGUUCAUUUUUUUUAAUUGAAUAAGUUUAAUGUGUAACAUUAUAAGUUUAAGGUGUACAACAUGUUACUUUGAUACAUUUAUAUAUUGUAAUAUGAUUGCCAAUAUGGAGAAAAUCAUCACAUUACAUAAUUAUAUAUUAUCUAUCAUUGUCUAUUAUUGUGCAUUAGAUCUCCAUGGCUUAUUUACUACUAAUUACAGUUUUACAUCCAUAAACGCAUCAGUCUUACCCCUUCCACUUCCUUUUUCUACAUUCCCAUUAAAAACACAUUAAGUAAGCCCUUUUUCUGUCUCUCUGGCUUUAUUUACUUAUCUCUCGUUUGAUAAUUCAGAUGCUCUUUUUCCCAAAUCAAGCACAAGUUAUCUCUCUGGAGUGGGGAUUACCCCAAUAACAUUAACCCAUCAAAUUUUCCAAAAUCUUAAAUUUUUGUUUUGAUUUCCCACAAGUUAACAAAAUUAUGCUACUUAUUGUUUUUCUAAUUGUUUUAUUUUACUUUAUUUUUGAUAUGUUCAACUCACAUGAUGAAAAGUGAUCAUUGAAUAUUUAUUUUUAUUACACAGUCAUGACUUAUCUUUACCACAAGGAAGUAGUGGCCUUAAAUAAAACAUUAAACAGAUUGACUUAAUAGACAAAUGCAGAACAUCCAUUAAAAUGCAGAAGAAUAGAUAAUCUUCUCAACUACAUGUGGAACUUUCUCAAGGAUAGACCACAGUUUGGGACACAAAACAAAUCAACAAAUUUACAAAGAUUUAAAUCAUAUCAAGUGUUUGUUCUGAUCAGAAUGAUGUGAAACUAGAAAUCAAGUACAGGAAGAAAGUUGGAAAAAUUGCAAGUACAAGGAGACUAAGCAAUAUAC
rnacentral:lncRNA from 1 species